UACGGGGGGGGCAAGCGUUGUUCGGAAUUACUGGGCGUAAAGGGCUCGUAGGCGGCCAACUAAGUCAGACGUGAAAUCCCCAGGCUUAACCUGGGAACUGCGUCUGAUACUGGAUGGCUUGAAUCCGGGAGAAGGAUGCAGAAUUCCAGGUGUAGCGGUGAAAUGCGUAGAUAUCUGGAGGAAUACCGAUGGCGAAGGCGGCAUCCUGGACCGGCAUUGACGCUGAGGAGCGAAAGCUAGGGGAGCAAACGGG
rnacentral:rRNA from 1 species